rnacentral:rRNA from 1 species
GUGAGUAACACGUGGGCAAUCUGCCCUGCACUCUGGGACAAGCCCUGGAAACGGGGUCUAAUACCGGAUACUGACCCUCACGGGCAUCUGUGAGGUUCGAAAGCUCCGGCGGUGCAGGAUGAGCCCGCGGCCUAUCAGCUUGUUGGUGAGGUAAUGGCUCACCAAGGCGACGACGGGUAGCCGGCCUGAGAGGGCGACCGGCCACACUGGGACUGAGACACGGCCCAGACUCCUACGGGAGGCAGCAGUGGGGAAUAUUGCACAAUGGGCGAAAGCCUGAUGCAGCGACGCCGCGUGAGGGAUGACGGCCUUCGGGUUGUAAACCUCUUUCAGCAGGGAAGAAGCGAAAGUGACGGUACCUGCAGAAGAAGCGCCGGCUAACUACGUGCCAGCAGCCGCGGUAAUACGUAGGGCGCGAGCGUUGUCCGGAAUUAUUGGGCGUAAAGAGCUCGUAGGCGGCUUGUCACGUCGGUUGUGAAAGCCCGGGGCUUAACCCCGGGUCUGCAGUCGAUACGGGCAGGCUAGAGUUCGGUAGGGGAGAUCGGAAUUCCUGGUGUAGCGGUGAAAUGCGCAGAUAUCAGGAGGAACACCGGUGGCGAAGGCGGAUCUCUGGGCCGAUACUGACGCUGAGGAGCGAAAGCGUGGGGAGCGAACAGGAUUAGAUACCCUGGUAGUCCACGCCGUAAACGGUGGGCACUAGGUGUGGGCAACAUUCCACGUUGUCCGUGCCGCAGCUAACGCAUUAAGUGCCCCGCCUGGGGAGUACGGCCGCAAGGCUAAAACUCAAAGGAAUUGACGGGGGCCCGCACAAGCGGCGGAGCAUGUGGCUUAAUUCGACGCAACGCGAAGAACCUUACCAAGGCUUGACAUACACCGGAAACGUCUAGAGAUGGCGCCCCCUUGUGGUCGGUGUACAGGUGGUGCAUGGCUGUCGUCAGCUCGUGUCGUGAAAAUGUUUGGGUUAAGUCCCGCAACGAGCGCAACCUUUGUCCCGUGUUGCAGCAGGCCCUUUGUGGUGCUGGGGACUCACGGGAGACCGGCGGGUCACUCCGGAAGAAAGGGUGGGGGACAACGUCCAAUCUUCAUGCCCCUUAUUGCUUGGGGUGCCACCUGCUACAUGGGCCGUAAAUGAGUGCGAAACCCGCGGAGGGGACGAAUCUCAAAACCGGCUCCUCUUUUUGGGUUGGGGGUUGCCACUCCACCCCCUAAAGGGGGAGGCCUGGUAAUCCGAAACACAUUUUUUGGGGGGAAAAAUUCCCCGGCCUUGUAACCCCCGCUCCCUCC